rnacentral:rRNA from 1 species
AUAACUUUUAACAAUGGAUCUCUAGGCUCUCACAUUGAUGAAGAACACAGUGAAAUGUGAUAAGUAAUGUGAAUUGCAGAAUUCAGUGAAUCAUCAAAUCUUUGAACGCACCUUGCACUUUUUGGAAUUCCAAAAGGUACACCUGUUUGAGUGUCAU